rnacentral:piRNA from 1 species
UACUCACUUCUACCUCCUCUUCAGUUGAUUU